AGCGUCAAAGCUUAAUUGUUAUUAUGCCUAAUCACCCAACCACCAUCUUAAUCCUCUAAUAAUACUGAGUAAUUCUAUAUUUCUAUAGAAAAUUUUAUGUUAAAACUAGUAACAAGAAGAAGAUUCUUCUCUCUAAUGUAAGUGUAAAUCAGAAAGGACAAACCACUGAUAAUUAACGUCAUUGAAACUAAAGUAGAAACUCAUCAAGAAAACUCUACUUUUAUUAACGUUAACCUAACACAAGAACAUUAUAAGAAAGAUUAAAAGAAAAAGAAGGAACUCGGCAAAUAUUAACCUCGCCUGUUUACCAAAAACAUCGCCUCUUGACUAAUAUAAGAGGUCCAGCCUGCCCAGUGACCCUGUUCAACGGCCGCGGUAUCCUAACCGUGCGAAGGUAGCGUAAUCACUUGUUCUUUAAAUGCGGACUAGUAUGAAUGGCAUCACGAAGGUUAUACUGUCUCCUUUUUCUAAUCAGUGAAACUAAUCUCCCCGUGAAGAAGCGGGGAUAAAAAUAUAAGACGAGAAGACCCUAUGGAGCUUUAGACAACACAGCAUUUACCUAAAAAACUAAUAUUUCUGAAUUCUAUAACUUCUAUAGAUAAUAUGACUGUAAGUUUUUGGUUGGGGUGACCGCGGAGCAUAACAUAACCUCCAUGUUGAAAGAAUUAUUUUUUAAGCUAAGAAUUACCCAUCUAAGCAUCAAUAAAUUGACAUCUAUUGACCCAAUAUAUUUGACCAACGAACCAAGUUACCCUAGGGAUAACAGCGCAAUCCACUUCAAGAGCUCCUAUCGACAAGUGGGUUUACGACCUCGAUGUUGGAUCAGGUAUCCCAGUGGUGCAGCCGCUACUAAAGGUUCGU
rnacentral:rRNA from 1 species